GGUUAAGCGACUAAGCGUACACGGUGGAUGCCCUGGCAGUCAGAGGCGAUGAAGGACGUGCUAAUCUGCGAUAAGCGUCGGUAAGGUGAUAUGAACCGUUAUAACCGGCGAUUUCCGAAUGGGGAAACCCAGUGUGAUUCGUCACACUAUCAUUAACUGAAUCCAUAGGUUAAUGAGGCGAACCGGGGGAACUGAAACAUCUAAGUACCCCGAGGAAAAGAAAUCAACCGAGAUUCCCCCAGUAGCGGCGAGCGAACGGGGAGCAGCCCAGAGCCUGAAUCAGUGUGUGUGUUAGUGGAAGCGUCUGGAAAGGCGCGCGAUACAGGGUGACAGCCCCGUACACAAAAAUGCACAUACUGUGAGCUCGAUGAGUAGGGCGGGACACGUGGUAUCCUGUCUGAAUAUGGGGGGACCAUCCUCCAAGGCUAAAUACUCCUGACUGACCGAUAGUGAACCAGUACCGUGAGGGAAAGGCGAAAAGAACCCCGGCGAGGGGAGUGAAAAAGAACCUGAAACCGUGUACGUACAAGCAGUGGGAGCACGCUUAGGCGUGUGACUGCGUACCUUUUGUAUAAUGGGUCAGCGACUUAUAUUCUGUAGCAAGGUUAACCGAAUAGGGGAGCCGAAGGGAAACCGAGUCUUAACUGGGCGUUAAGUUGCAKGGUAUAGACCCGAAACCCGGUGAUCUAGCCAUGGGCAGGUUGAAGGUUGGGUAACACUAACUGGAGGACCGAACCGACUAAUGUUGAAAAAUUAGCGGAUGACUUGUGGCUGGGGGUGAAAGGCCAAUCAAACCGGGAGAUAGCUGGUUCUCCCCGAAAGCUAUUUAGGUAGCGCCUCGUGAAUUCAUCUCCGGGGGUAGAGCACUGUUUCGGCAAGGGGGUCAUCCCGACUUACCAACCCGAUGCAAACUGCGAAUACCGGAGAAUGUUAUCACGGGAGACACACGGCGGGUGCUAACGUCCGUCGUGAAGAGGGAAACAACCCAGACCGCCAGCUAAGGUCCCAAAGUCAUGGUUAAGUGGGAAACGAUGUGGGAAGGCCCAGACAGCCAGGAUGUUGGCUUAGAAGCAGCCAUCAUUUAAAGAAAGCGUAAUAGCUCACUGGUCGAGUCGGCCUGCGCGGAAGAUGUAACGGGGCUAAACCAUGCACCGAAGCUGCGGCAGCGACGCUGAUGCGUUGUUGGGUAGGGGAGCGUUCUGUAAGCCUGCGAAGGUGUGCUGUGAGGCAUGCUGGAGGUAUCAGAAGUGCGAAUGCUGACAUAAGUAACGAUAAAGCGGGUGAAAAGCCCGCUCGCCGGAAGACCAAGGGUUCCUGUCCAACGUUAAUCGGGGCAGGGUGAGUCGACCCCUAAGGCGAGGCCGAAAGGCGUAGUCGAUGGGAAACAGGUUAAUAUUCCUGUACUUGGUGUUACUGCGAAGGGGGGACGGAGAAGGCUAUGUUGGCCGGGCGACGGUUGUCCCGGUUUAAGCGUGUAGGCUGGUUUUCCAGGCAAAUCCGGAAAAUCAAGGCUGAGGCGUGAUGACGAGGCACUACGGUGCUGAAGCAACAAAUGCCCUGCUUCCAGGAAAAGCCUCUAAGCAUCAGGUAACAUCAAAUCGUACCCCAAACCGACACAGGUGGUCAGGUAGAGAAUACCAAGGCGCUUGAGAGAACUCGGGUGAAGGAACUAGGCAAAAUGGUGCCGUAACUUCGGGAGAAGGCACGCUGAUAUGUAGGUGAAGUCCCUCGCGGAUGGAGCUGAAAUCAGUCGAAGAUACCAGCUGGCUGCAACUGUUUAUUAAAAACACAGCACUGUGCAAACACGAAAGUGGACGUAUACGGUGUGACGCCUGCCCGGUGCCGGAAGGUUAAUUGAUGGGGUCAGCGCAAGCGAAGCUCUUGAUCGAAGCCCCGGUAAACGGCGGCCGUAACUAUAACGGUCCUAAGGUAGCGAAAUUCCUUGUCGGGUAAGUUCCGACCUGCACGAAUGGCGUAAUGAUGGCCAGGCUGUCUCCACCCGAGACUCAGUGAAAUUGAACUCGCUGUGAAGAUGCAGUGUACCCGCGGCAAGACGGAAAGACCCCGUGAACCUUUACUAUAGCUUGACACUGAACAUUGAGCCUUGAUGUGUAGGAUAGGUGGGAGGCUUUGAAGUGUGGACGCCAGUCUGCAUGGAGCCGACCUUGAAAUACCACCCUUUAAUGUUUGAUGUUCUAACGUGGACCCGUAAUCCGGGUUGCGGACAGUGUCUGGUGGGUAGUUUGACUGGGGCGGUCUCCUCCUAAAGAGUAACGGAGGAGCACGAAGGUUGGCUAAUCCUGGUCGGACAUCAGGAGGUUAGUGCAAUGGCAUAAGCCAGCUUGACUGCGAGCGUGACGGCGCGAGCAGGUGCGAAAGCAGGUCAUAGUGAUCCGGUGGUUCUGAAUGGAAGGGCCAUCGCUCAACGGAUAAAAGGUACUCCGGGGAUAACAGGCUGAUACCGCCCAAGAGUUCAUAUCGACGGCGGUGUUUGGCACCUCGAUGUCGGCUCAUCACAUCCUGGGGCUGAAGUAGGUCCCAAGGGUAUGGCUGUUCGCCAUUUAAAGUGGUACGCGAGCUGGGUUUAGAACGUCGUGAGACAGUUCGGUCCCUAUCUGCCGUGGGCGCUGGAGAACUGAGGGGGGCUGCUCCUAGUACGAGAGGACCGGAGUGGACGCAUCACUGGUGUUCGGGUUGUCAUGCCAAUGGCACUGCCCGGUAGCUAAAUGCGGAAGAGAUAAGUGCUGAAAGCAUCUAAGCACGAAACUUGCCCCGAGAUGAGUUCUCCCUGACUCCUUGAGAGUCCUGAAGGAACGUUGAAGACGACGACGUUGAUAGGCCGGGUGUGUAAGCGCAGCGAUGCGUUGAGCUAACCGGUACUAAUGAACCGUGAGGCUUAACCUU
rnacentral:rRNA from 1 species